GUAAGUAAGGAAGGAAGGAAGGAAGGAAGAAAGGAAGGAAGAAAGAAAGAAAGAAAGAAAGGAAAGAAAGAAGAAAAGAAGGAAAGAGAAAAGAGAGGAAAGAAAGAGGGAGGAAGAGAAGAAGAGAGAAAGAGAGAAGGAAGGAGAGGAGAGAAAGAGAGAGAAAGGGAGGAAGAGAGGAAGGAAGGAAGAAAGAAAGAAAGAAAGAAAGAAAGAAAGAAAGAAAGAAAGAAAGAAAGAAAGAAAGAAAGAAGAAAGGAAGGAGGGAGGGAGGGAAGGAAGAAAGGAAGAAAGGAAGGAAGGAAGGAAGGAAGGAAGAAAGAAAGAAAGAAAGAAAGAAAGAAAGAAAGAAAGAAAGAAAGAAAGAAAGAAAGAAAGAAAGAAAGAAAGAAAGAAAGAAAGAAAGAAAGAAAGAAAGAAAGAAAGAAAGAAAGAAAGAAAGAAAGAAAGAAAGAAAGAAAGAAAGAAAGAAAGAAAGAAAGAAAGAAAGGGAGAGAAAGAGAGAGAGAAAGAGAGAGAGGGAGAGAGAAAGAAAGGAAGAAAAAGAAAGAAAGAGGGAGGGAGGGAAGAAGGGAGGGAGGAAGGAUGAGAGAGAGGGAGAGGAGGGAGGGAGGAAAAGAGAGAAGAGAAGGAAGAAAAGAGAGAAAAGAAAGAAAGAGAAAAGAGAAAGCAAAGGGGGGCAGCUGGGUAGCUCAGUGAAUUGAGAACCAGGCCUAGAGAUGGGAGGUCCUAGGUUCAAAUCUGGCCUCAGCCACUUCCCAGCUGGGUGACCCUGGGCAAGUCACUUGACCCCCAUUGCCUAGCCCUUACCACUCUUCUGUCUUGGAGCCAAUACACAGUAUUGACUCCAAGACAGAAGGUAAAGGUUUAAAAAAAAAAAGAGAGAGAAAGCAAAGAAGUAAGGCUGGGGAAGGGAGAGAGGGGGGAAGAAAAGAAUAAGAAAGAAAGAAGGAAAGAAAGAAAAGAGAAAGAAAGGAAGGAGGGAGGAAAGAAAGAGAAAAAGAAGAGGAGAGAUAGAAAAAGAAAUUAUAUCAAUGAAACAUUUAUAAAAUACUUGGAAGAGAACAGAAGGAAGACUAGUAUUAGAAUU
rnacentral:lncRNA from 1 species